GUGAGGGUGGUCUGGCUACAGCUGUCACCCCAUUGAUAGCUGAGGCUAAAUCAGGUGACCCGGGUGCAAGGCAAUUGUCCCUCCCUUCCCUAGUGUGAGUCCGUCCUGAGGUCACACACUCGGUCAAAGAGAAAACCUCCCCUGACGGGAGGCAUGUUCUGUAGGCUAGGGUAUUCAAGCCACUGUGGCCUGGCUAGAACUUCCAAACAAAUUCUCAAGCCCAUUUGUGGGAGGACACAGGCGGUCAAGGCUCCAGACACAACUGAGCGAGGUGCCUCACAUAUCAGCCUGCUUUUCUA
rnacentral:snRNA from 1 species